CUGCUGCCUUCCGUAGGAGUCUGGUCCGUGUCUCAGUACCAGUGUGGGGGACCUUCCUCUCAGAACCCCUAUCCAUCGUGGACUUGGUGAGCCGUUACCUCACCAACUAUCUAAUGGAACGCAUGCCCAUCUAUCAGCGAUAAUUCUUUAACAAAUAUUUCCAUGUGGAACCCCUGUUUUAUGCGGUAUUAGUCCGACUUUCGCCGGGUUAUUCCCCUCCUGAUAGGUAGGUUGCAUACGCGUUACUCACCCGUCGCGCCGGUCG
rnacentral:rRNA from 1 species